rnacentral:rRNA from 1 species
UACGUAGGGGGCAAGCGUUAUCCGGAUUUACUGGGUGUAAAGGGAGCGUAGACGGCCAGACAAGUCUGAAGUGAAAAUCCAGCGCUUAACGCUGGAAGUGCUUUGGAAGCUGCCGGGCUGGAGUGCAGGAGGGGCAGGCGGAAUUCCUAGUGUAGCGGUGAAAUGCGUAGAUAUUAGGAGGAACACCAGUGGCGAAGGCGGCCUGCUGGACUGCAACUGACGUUGAGGCUCGAAGGCGUGGGGAGCAAACAGG